rnacentral:pre_miRNA from 1 species
AUAAUACUCCCUCCGUCCAAAAAUACUUGUCAUCAAAACGGAUAAAAGGGGAUGUAUCUAGAUGUAUUUUAGUUUUAGAUACAUCUCUUUUUAUCCAUUUUGAUGACAAGUAUUUUCGGACAGAGGGAGUAUAAA